UACGUAGGUGGCAAGCGUUAUCCGAAAUUAUUGGGCGUAAAGCGCGCGCAGGUGGUUUCUUAAGUCUGAUGUGAAAGCCCACGGCUCAACCGUGGAGGGUCAUUGGAAACUGGGAGACUUGAGUGCAGAAGAGGAAAGUGGAAUUCCAUGUGUAGCGGUGAAAUGCGUAGAGAUAUGGAGGAACACCAAUGGCGAAGGCAGCUUGCUGGGACGGUACUGACGCUGAGGCGCGAAAGCGUGGGGAGCAAACAGG
rnacentral:rRNA from 1 species